AAUGAACGCUGGCGGCGUGCGUAACACAUGCAAGUCGAACGAGAAAUUCCGGGUUUGCCCGGGAGAGUAAAGUGGCGAACGGGUGAGUAACGCGUGGGUAACCUGCCCCUGAAUCUGGAAUAACUUCGCGAAAGCGAGGCUAAUUCCGGAUGUUGUCCCAGGGACUGGGGUCCUUGUGAUGAAAGAUGACCUCUUCACGAAAGUUGUCGUUCAGGGAGGGGCCCGCGUACCAUUAGCUAGUUGGUAGGGUAACGGCCUACCAAGGCGAUGAUGGUUAGCUGGUCUGAGAGGAUGACCAGCCACACUGGCACUGAAACACGGGCCAGACUCCUACGGGAGGCAGCAGUGAGGAAUUUUGCGCAAUAGGGGAAACCCUGACGCAGCAACGCCGCGUGAGUGAAGAAGGCCUUCGGGUCGUAAAGCUCUGUCAAGUGGGAAAAAAGCUUCCUGGUGAAUAGCCAGGAAGACUGAUGGUACCAUUGAAGGAAGCACCGGCUAACUCCGUGCCCGCCGCCGCCGUAAGAC
rnacentral:rRNA from 1 species